ensembl:misc_RNA Metazoa_SRP Metazoan signal recognition particle RNA
GCCGGGCGUGGUGGCGGGUGCCUGUAAUCCCAGCUACUCAGGAGGCUAAGGCAGGGGAAUUGCUUGAACCCGGGAGAUGGAGGUUGCAGUGAGCCAAAAUUGAGCCACUGCACCACUGCACUCCAUCCUGGGUGACAGAGUGAGACUCUGUCUCAA